ACGAACGCUGGCGGCAGGCUUAACACAUGCAAGUCGAACGAUAUAGUGGCAGACGGGUGAGUAACGCGUGGAAACGUGCCUUUCACUACGGAAUAGCUUUUGGAAACGAAAGGUAAUACCGUAUACGCCCUCCGGGGGAAAGAUUUAUCGGUGAAAGAUCGGUCCGCGUUAGAUUAGCUAGUUGGUGAGGUAACGGCUCACCAAGGCUACGAUCUAUAGCUGGUCUGAGAGGAUGAUCAGCCACACUGGGACUGAGACACGGCCCAGACUCCUACGGGAGGCAGCAGUGGGGAAUAUUGCACAAUGGGCGCAAGCCUGAUGCAGCCAUGCCGCGUGAAUGAUGAAGGCCUUAGGGUUGUAAAAUUCUUUCGCCAAGGAUGAUAAUGACAGUACUUGGUAAAGAAGCCCCGGCUAACUUCGUGCCAGCAGCCGCGGUAAUACGAAGGGGGCUAGCGUUGUUCGGAAUUACUGGGCGUAAAGCGCACGUAGGCGGACUUUUAAGUCAGAUGUGAAAUCCCGAGGCUCAACCUCGGAACUGCAUUUGAAACUGGGAGUCUAGAGAUCAGGAGAGGUUAGUGGAAUACCGAGUGUAGAGGUGAAAUUCGUAGAUAUUCGGUGGAACACCAGUGGCGAAGGCGACUAACUGGACUGAUACUGACGCUGAGGUGCGAAAGUGUGGGGAGCAAACAGGAUUAGAUACCCUGGUAGUCCACACCGUAAACGAUGAGUGCUAGUUGUCUGCAGGCAUGCCUGUAGGUGACGCAGCUAACGCAUUAAGCACUCCGCCUGGGGAGUACGGCCGCAAGGUUAAAACUCAAAGAAAUUGACGGGGGCCCGCACAAGCGGUGGAGCAUGUGGUUUAAUUCGAAGCAACGCGCAGAACCUUACCUACGCUUGACAUGCCCGGACGAUUUCCAGAGAUGGAUCUCUCCCUUCGGGGCCGGUGCACAGGUGCUGCAUGGCUGUCGUCAGCUCGUGUCGUGAGAUGUUGGGUUAAGUCCCGCAACGAGCGCAACCCUCAUCCUUAGUUGCCAUCACGUUUGGGUGGGCACUCUAGGGAAACUGCCGGUGCUAAGCCGGAGGAAGGCGGGGAUGACGUCAAGUCCUCAUGGCCCUUACGCGUAGGGCUACACACGUGCUACAAUGGCAGUGACAAUGGGAUAAUCCCCAAAAGCUGUCUCAGUUCGGAUUGUCGGCUGCAACUCGCCGGCAUGAAGUUGGAAUCGCUAGUAAUCGUGGAUCAGCAUGCCACGGUGAAUACGUUCCCGGGCCUUGUACACACCGCCCGUCACACCAUGGGAGUUGGAUCUACCCGAAGAUUGUGAGCUAACUUCGGAGGCAGCAAGCCACGGUAGGUUCAGCGACUGGGGUGA
rnacentral:rRNA from 1 species